rnacentral:lncRNA from 1 species
AUUUGCCAUCUGUUUCUCCUUCUCAGUUAAUUUGACUAUUAGAGUGGCUAUAGCAGAUGUUAAGCCUCUGAAAAGAGCAAUCUGAGGGGGUGGAGAGCUUUUUGUGGGGGAACCUGAGAACUCUUACCUGUGUGGUGUGGCUCUGGGAAGGCAACAAGGCCAAAUGGGGCUUUGUAAAACUCAGACCUCACUUAACUGCAAAAAUGAGGCUCACUGGUUGUGCAUGAUUUUGGGCUGCUGUACUUAGAGGUAAUUCUGCUUUUUUGCUUAAAAGAUAAACAAGCAAACAUGGCUAAAGUUCAUUUUUCCUUUAGCUGCCCAUCUUUUCCUUUCUGUUUUGGGGGAGCUGGAGUGGCCUCAGCACUUCCCUUGGUCUCUGUGGGCUUGUCAGGUGCCUGUAUCCCUGGAAUGGGAUCUGGACUUGAUCUGUUGCAAAUACAAAUGUUUGUUACUGAAGCAAACAGGUCAUGUUAUGUUAUUCUUGUACCUUAAAUAAAUCAAGAAAGGUGCAAAUGUGCUAGUUGUGAACUUAUUUCUCCCCUGGGCUGCUUCCAUGAGAUGUUUCUUUCUCUUCUUAUCUUCCCCACCCUGCUCCCACUUUUGCUGCUUUGAAUGGCAUCAGCUUAUUGAAGGAUUUUCUGAAAAUAGCAGUAUUGAAAAGGCAUGUUCUCUGUUUGCUCAUCUGGAAUAUUCUAGGAGGAAUUAACUCCUUUAAUUCCUCACUCCAUAAAUUUGAGGUUCCCUUUCUAGUUUUAUCUUGGAGAUAUGUUAAGGCAAUAACAAGUAUAAGUAAAAGAAGCUGCAGGGUUUGGUUUUCUAUUUUUCAGGAAUGCAGUGUGUGGAUCCAGCAAUAUGCAGGCAGUGCAGAGCUCGAGCCUGGGGCUGGUGGCCAUUCGCAUAUGGGACGUCUCGAUUUGGUGUCAGGGGACCUGCAGCUGACUGAUGCUCUUAAGUUCCUUUUUCACUGGAAAUUUGCUGACUGCUUGAAAACGGAAACUGUUUGAGGAAAGAUCAGUCUGGAUGAUUUUCCCACUUCGAUAAGAAUCUGCAAAGAAAAAAAAAAAUUGAAAUUGCCAGCACAUUCCUUUCUGCCAUUUUCAAGAGGAAAGCAGCCCAACGCC